rnacentral:rRNA from 1 species
GAGUUUGAUCGUGGCUCAGAUUGAACGCUGGCAGCAUGCCUUACACAUGCAAGUCGAACGGCAGCAUGAUCUAGCUUGCUAGAUUGAUGGCGAGUGGCGAACGGGUGAGUAAUACAUCGGAACGUGCCCUGUAGUGGGGGAUAACUAGUCGAAAGACUAGCUAAUACCGCAUACGACCUGAGGGUGAAAGUGGGGGACCGCAAGGCCUCAUGCUAUAGGAGCGGCCGAUGUCUGAUUAGCUAGUUGGUGGGGUAAAGGCCCACCAAGGCGACGAUCAGUAGCUGGUCUGAGAGGACGAUCAGCCACACUGGGACUGAGACACGGCCCAGACUCCUACGGGAGGCAGCAGUGGGGAAUUUUGGACAAUGGGCGAAAGCCUGAUCCAGCAAUGCCGCGUGUGUGAAGAAGGCCUCGGUUGUAAG